UACGAAGGGGGCUAGCGUUGUUCGGAUUUACUGGGCGUAAAGCGCACGUAGGCGGAUUGUUAAGUCAGGGGUGAAAUCCUGGAGCUCAACUCCAGAACUGCCUUUGAUACUGGCAAUCUAGAGUCCGGAAGAGGUGAGUGGAACUCCUAGUGUAGAGGUGGAAUUCGUAGAUAUUAGGAAGAACACCGGUGGCGAAGGCGGCGACCUGGUCCUUGACUGACGCUGAGGCGCGAAAGCGUGGGGAGCAAACAGG
rnacentral:rRNA from 1 species